CCUAAGCUGACUCCGGACCCGGACUGGUUUCUAGGUCGGAACAGGUUGGACUCCAGCUGGUUUCCCGACCUAACUCGGAAAAAAGAGGCCUGCAAAAAAACUUGAAAGCUCAGCGACACAACAGCUGUGAGCUAAUGCGGGAGAGGGAAUCACCCACCCCCAGCGAGAAAGCGGCAAGACUUGGGAGCUCACAGCUCCCACUCUCAUGUCAACCUCUGCCUGGACCAGGAGGGAAUCAGAAAAAAAAGCACACCCCUUGACUACUGAAGCCUCUGGUUUAAGACCUAUGCAACUGACAACACACUGGCCUAGGUUUGGGCUCCCUUUUGAAAUACAGACAGCAGCAAGUGCCUCAGAGAUAUGCCUGCUUUCUCUCCUCUGCCUUCUGCCAUGGACACAGAGAGCCCUGCAUGGCAUCACGGUACCUAACAGCCCCUCCUGCCACAGGAGAACACUCUCACUGGACAUACAGGAGGCUUUUUCUGGAUACUGUGUUUUCCAAGUGUGGCUGAAAGUAC
rnacentral:lncRNA from 9 species